rnacentral:rRNA from 1 species
GACAGAGGUGCCGAGCGUUAUGCGGAAUCACUGGGCUUAAAGCGUGUGUAGGCGGAUGCCUAAGUACCUUGUGAAAUCCCCCGGCUUAACCGGGGAACUGCUUGGUAUACUGGGUGUCUUGAGCCACUUAGGGGCGACCGGAACAAACGGUGGAGCGGUGAAAUGCGUAGAUAUCGUUUGGAACGCCAAUGGUGAAAACAGGUCGCUGGGAGUGUGCUGACGCUGAGACACGAAAGCCAGGGGAGCGAACGGG